GAUGAACGCUGGCGGCGUGCCUAAUACAUGCAAGUCGAGCGAACGGACGAGAAGCUUGCUUCUCUGAUGUUAGCGGCGGACGGGUGAGUAACACGUGGAUAACCUACCUAUAAGACUGGGAUAACUUCGGGAAACCGGAGCUAAUAACGGAUAAUAUUUUGAACCGCAUGGUUCAAAAGUGAAAGACGGUCUUGCUGUCACUUAUAGAUGGUUCCGCGCUGCAUUAGCUAGUUGGUAAGGUAACGGCUUACCAAGGCAACGAUGCAUAGCCGACCUGAGAGGGUGAUCGGCCACACUGGAACUGAGACACGGUCCAGACUCCUACGGGAGGCAGCAGUAGGGAAUCUUCCGCAAAGGGCGAAAGCCUGACGGAGCAACGCCGCGUGAGUGAUGAAGGUCUUCGGAUCGUAAAACUCUGUUAUUAGGGAAGAACAUAUGUGUAAGUAACUGUGCACAUCUUGACGGUACCUAAUCAGAAAGCCACGGCUAACUACGUG
rnacentral:rRNA from 1 species